GUCGAGCGAUCUUCUUCGGAAGAGAGCGGCGGACGGGUGAGUAACCUUUGGGUAACCUGCCCUGUACACACGGAUAACAUACCGACCUGUAUGCUAAUACGGGAUAACAUAAGAAAUUCGCAUGUUUUUCUUAUCAAAGCUCCGGCGGUACAGGAUGGACCCGCGUCUGAUUAGCUAGUUGGUGAGGUAACGGCUCACCAAGGCGACGAUCAGUAGCCGACCUGAGAGGGUGAUCGGCCACAUUGGAACUGAGACACGGUCCAAACUCCUACGGGAGGCAGCAGUGGGGAAUAUUGCACAAUGGGCGAAAGCCUGAUGCAGCAACGCCGCGUGAGCGAUGAAGGCCUUCGGGUCGUAAAGCUCUGUCCUCAAGGAAGAUAAUGACGGUACUUGAGGAGGAAGCCCCGGCUAACUACGUGCCAGCAGCCGCGGUAAUACGUAGGGGGCUAGCGUUAUCCGGAUUUACUGGGCGUAAAGGGUGCGUAGGCGGUCUUUUAAGUCAGGAGUGAAAGGCUACGGCUCAACCGUAGUAAGCUCUUGAAACUGGAGGACUUGAGUGCAGGAGAGGAGAGUGGAAUUCCUAGUGUAGCGGUGAAAUGCGUAGAUAUUAGGAGGAACACCAGUAGCGAAGGCGGCUCUCUGGACUGUAACUGACGCUGAGGCACGAAAGCGUGGGGAGCAAACAGGAUUAGAUACCCUGGUAGUCCACGCCGUAAACGAUGAGUACUAGGUGUCGGGGGUUACCCCCCUCGGUGCCGCAGCUAACGCAUUAAGUACUCCGCCUGGGGAGUACGCUCGCAAGAGUGAAAC
rnacentral:rRNA from 1 species